GGGGGCAAACGCGGACGCCCGUCCAGACGGCUUGCCGUCCAAGAUCCGC
rnacentral:ncRNA from 1 species